rnacentral:misc_RNA from 1 species
AAAUGCGAUAAGUAGUGUGAAUUGCAGAUUUCAGUGAAUCAUCGAAUCUUUGAACGCACAUUGCGCCCUUUGGUAUUCCAUGGGGCAUGCCUGUUCGAGCGUCAUUUCAACCCUCAAGCACUGCUUGGUGUUGGGCGUUUGUCCCGCCUACGCGCGUGGACUCGCCUCAAAGUCAUUAGCAGCUGUUCCCCUUCGGCUCGUAAGCGCAGCACAGUCGGCGCCCGGAGCUCUGGUGGGAUGGCGUCCAGCAAGCUAUAUUUUCAGGCUUGACCUCGGAUCAGGUAGGGAUACCCGCUGAACUUAAGC